GACGAACGCUGGCGGCGUGCCUAAUACAUGCAAGUCGAACGCAGUGGGUACGGUUGAGUAACACGUGGGUAACCUCCCAUCAGAGGGGAUAACACUUGGAAACAGGUGCUAAACCGAUACGGCUGGCUGGACCCGCUGUGCAUUAGCUAGUUGGGGCGGUAACGGCCCACCAAGGCCACGAUGCAUAGCCGGCCUGAGAGGGUGAUCGGCCACACUGGGACUGAGACACGGCCCAGACUCCUACGGGAGGCAGCAGUAGGGAAUAUUGCGCAAUGGACGAAAGUCUGACCGAGCAACGCCGCGUGAAUGAAGAAGGCUUUAGGAUUGUAAACCUCUGUUGUUAGAGAAGCGGUAUCUACCCAGAAAGCCACGGCUAACUCCGUGCCAGCCGCCGCGGUAAUAC
rnacentral:rRNA from 1 species